rnacentral:misc_RNA from 1 species
GGAAGGAUCAUUACAAAUCCAUCCACGUCUCAUACCCUGAGACCACGUUGAAAUGUUCCCCAGAGCCUCUGCCCUCUGGGCCAGCUUCGGCCGGCCCCUUGGAUCAGCAUGCUCUGGGCUGUUAAACUAGUCAUCUCUGUUGCUCAAAUGUAUCUUGAUUUCAAUCAAACGAAAACUUGUACAACUUAUAACAAUGGAUCUCUAGGCUCUUGCAUCGAUGAAGAACGCAGCCAGACGCGAAAUGUGUUAUGACUUGCAAUCUUCGCGAAUCAUUUAAUCUUUGAACGCAACUUGCACCCUCGGGCUUGACCCUUGGGUAUACUUGUUUGAGUAUCGUCUAUGCGCUCACACCUCCCUUCGCCCUCACGGGUGAUGGGUCGAGUGGAUUUGAUGCGUAGGAGCCCCUCCAGGCCCCUUGCCUCUAAAUGCAUGAUCUUGCUCCAGGAGACAGGUCUUGCCCUUUGCCGCAAGGCAUCGGGAACCAACUUGGGAUAACGUCCAUCAAGUUUGGUUAUCUGUCCCCUUGGACCCGGCAGUCAGCAAUGGCUGUGCAGAUCAAAUGAACGUGCCACGGGCUAGCAAUGGCUCUGUGGGACAACCCUUUGACGUACCGAUCUCAAAUCAAGUAAGGUUACCCGCUGAACUUAAGCAUAUCAGUAAGCGGAGGAAGAGAAACUAACAAGGAUUCCCUCAGUAACGGCGAGUGAACCGGGAAUAGCUCAAAUUUGGAAUCUGGCAUCCGUGAGGGUGUCCGAAUUGUCAUUAAAAGGGUUCGUUUGUGCCAACCGGAAGAGUCCAAGUCCCUUGGAACAGGGCGCCAGAGAGGGUGAAAGCCCCGUACUGGCUCUUCGACACGGGCGGCAGUACCAAGCGGGCCCAACGAGUCGGAUAGUUUGGGAAUGCUGUCCUAAAUGGGUGAUACAUGUCAUCUAAAGCUAAAUAUCAGCAAGAGACCGAUAGCAAACAAGUACCGUGAGGGAAAGAUGAAAAGAACUUUGAAAAGAGAGUUAAAAGUACGUGAAAUUGUUAUAAGGGAAACGAUUCAUUCUGCGCCAGGACAGGGCCUUCCAGGGCAAGCCUUCACGGGCAUGCUCGUACCAGGCCCUGACCCGGUUGAUCCGCUUGAGGCGGCCCGCAAACGCCUCCUGGGAAGGUGGCUCUCCCGCAAGGGAGACGCUUUAUAGACCAGGAAGUGCUGCGGGCCUUUGCCACAAGUGUCGACGCUUGUCGAGGCAGGCAGGUCCGGCCCGGGGUGCCUUCAUGGUGCUCCGCCGCUUGGCCCGUCCCGUCAUCAACGUUGUGGAGUGAAACGACCCGUCUUGAAACACGGACCAAGGAGUGCAACUCUGAUGCGAGUCAUUGAGUGGCAAACUCAAAGGCGCAACGAAAGUAAUUGUGUGGGAUGCAGGGUCCAUUCGUGGGCUCGGCUGCACCACCACCCGGUUCUGACCGUUGGUCUCGAUCGAGGUAGAGCAUCAUGGCUGCGACCCGAAAGAUGGUGAACUAUGCCUGACUAGGGUGAAGCCAGAGGAAACUCUGGUGGAGGCUCGUAGACAUUCUGACGUGCAAAUCGAUGUUCAAAGUUGGGUAUAGGGGCGAAAGACUAAUCGAACCAUCUAGUAGACAUUGGGAACCAUUAUAAACCAACUGCUAGAGAUAGUGGGGCAAUGGCCUAAACAACCAUUGUUAUGCCCGCUAGUCGAGCAGCCGCAACUGUGACAGGUUGGCUGCCGGCAAGGUGACCUGGUACGAGGAAGGCCCCACAAAGGCCCUUAAAGCAUGUACUUUAUUCUUAAUUGAACAGAGUGGUUAGUGCUUCUAGGGCUGGGGUUAAUCUCGUGGCGAAUUUCUCAAGGGUGACUUUGAUGAGAUCGUCGUAACGCGCGGUAAGGCACCGGCUGACUCUCCUAAUCAAUUUGGCUUCUCACUCCAUGUGGGUGGAGGCGUAUAUUGGAGAGUUGGCUCAAGGAACGUGCUACUCCCAGACGAUCAAAAGUCUGCUUUGUACUGGAACACCUGUCAUGUAAAGGUACAAAGAAGGUAAUCAAUGGGCGGGGAGGAAAUGCCUCGUCCCAAGUAAAGCAACGUCUUUACUGCCUUGGUGUCAAGGAGCUGGUUCCCUC